AAUUGAGAUUCUGCUUUGAGAACAGCCUGGAGAAUCCAGACCUUCAGUGAAUGCCCCACCCCUAGACUCCCAGAUCAAUGGAAUAAGUUUCUCCACCUUAUCCCCAGAAAUCCGAUGCCCCCCAGCUUCAUUUUCCCCAGAUUCCAAAAACGGGGUACACGGAGGACCCUAGGACCCAGAAGACAACUCAGGCACAAAGCCUCCCCCCACUCGAGGUUGCUUCCUGCAUCUCUAGCCUUCCUGCCGCCCUCCCCUCCCCUCCCUCCUUCUCCGCCCCCCUUUCCUCUUUUCCCAUCCUCCUCCUCCCCCUCCGCACUUCCCACACUCAGGCAGCUGGCCCUGUCCGCCUGGAGAGAAGGGGGGUAGUGGAAUCAUCCCAGGGAUGUAGGGCCCUAUAUAGGAAAACCCUAUGGGUAAGGGGUGUCUAGGACCCUGGGAUCUAGAUAGCUUGAUCUUUGGGAAUGAGGAUGAGGGAAGGGUCUGGUAACUUGAGCACCGAAGCUUUCGACCGACGGAGCUAAAGGGUCUUUGGGGAGAAGCUAGUAGGAACCGAGCUCCUGACGGUAAGAAGACCCUGGAGUCCUGCCCCUCCUCUGCACUAUAGCCCAGCUAGUCCAGGGAGACAGCACCCCCACACCUCAUCUAAAGGAGGAGGUCCUCAGCGAUUUUGGAAGGAUAGCUGGGAAAUCCCAGUUUCUCCGGUAUGAGGAGGAUUCAUAGAAUGGCAGAGCUGAAAAGAUGGGGAAACUGAGACUAAAAAAGAAGGUGAAGGCAGAGCCAUCUCUAUGGACAACUCACUCAGCACUUUGAAGAUCUAUACCUAUUGGUACUAAGCAUUGUGACUCAAGCAGAUAAGAUAAGGAGGGAAUGGAAGAAGCUUCUGCAAUUGACGCUCAAGGCCUGAAGAUUUAUGCUCACACACUAUUUCCUUGUAAGGCCUCCAGCCAACUGUUCCCAAGGCACUGAACCUCUCUCUGCUAUUGGACUCUCUCCUCAGGCUAUGUGUUUGAAUUUUGUUUCUUUUCUCCUUCUAAGACUACCCUUGAUAUAGCCCAGUUUCUCCUGUGUACAACUGGCAGAAAAAAGGAGAAGAUAGCAGGGACCACCACCUGAGCCUUCAUCUUCCCAAGUAUUUUUGUUCAGUUGUUUUUUCAGUCAUUUCUGACUCUUCAUGACCUCAAAUGGGGAUUGGGGGGGGGGGGGCACAGAUACUAGAGUGGCUUGCCACUUCCUUCUCCAGUUCAUUUGACUUGACAGAUGAGGAAACUGAGGCAGAAUUAAGUGACUUUUCCUAGAGUCACACCACUACUAAGUAUCUAAGACUAGAUCUGAACUCUGAGAAAAUGAGUCUCCCUGACUCCAGGCCCAGUGCACUAUCCAUUGUGCCACAUAGCUUCCCUUUCCCAAGUAUGGUCCUGAAUAAGAGGCUAGACUCAUUUCAAGGAUACAUGCUCCUCCACUCAUGAGCACACACACACACACAUCCCUUGACUUUCCCUGUUUCUAGUCUGCUAAUCCUUAACCUUGGAUAACCCCCAGCAUCAGCCUUCUGUCACCCUAUUCUAAGUCGCCCAGCUUUUCCUGUCUGAUUCCUAUGGCGAUUUCACUUCCUUCUCUUAUCCACUAAGGACAUUUCCCUCUCUGUCCUCUUCCCUGAUCUUUUUCCCUUUGUAAAACCUCCCCUUUGUCUGUCUCAUCCACUUCCAUGACUUCAGCUCUCAUUGCUGUAAGGAACAAAUUGUUCUCAUCCACCCAUCCCACCCUCUUCAUAUGCCUGGGGCAGACACCUCCUAACUCACAGAUGGGUUGAAGGACUUUCGGUUACCCGCCCGCCUAGACAGUGGCGUGAUCACUGCACUUGCUACAGCUUCUUGGAGCCACUGGUGAGAGCUGAGUGGCAGGUGGAUCCCCAAGAAGAAACGCAGCCCUCACACUAGGCACUAGCCCUCCCUGAACCGUCCUGUUCUCAUGUACUUUGUACUCAAAAAACCAACUCAUUCUUUUUCACUCUCCAGCUGUCCCUUCCCACCUCCCUGCAUUUACACCAAUUGCCUUUGCCAGGCUUUGGAACACACCUUCUUCCCUCUCCCCCUCAACUCAGCCUAUCAAAAUCCCUUUUUAUCAAGGCCCAGCUUGGGGCCACCUCUUGCCUAAAGCCUUCAUUGAUCUUCUAGGCUAGAUGGAAUCUCUCCUUCUUCAAAUCUUUCUCUUCGAGUCAUUUUUUAAAAACUUUCACCUUCUGUCUUAGAAUCAAUACUGUGUAUGGGUUCCCAGGCAGAAGACAGGUAAGGGCUAGGCAAAUGGGGUUAAGUGACUUGCCCAAGGUCACACAGUUAAGGAAGAGUCUGAGGUCAUAUUUGAACCCAGGACCUCCCGUUUCUAGUCCUGGCUCUCCAUCCACUGAGCCACCAGCUUCCCCCUCUUCGUUUCUUAAUUAAAUUAAAUUUAUUUUCACUUAAGCAUUUAUUUUUUCUUCCUCCCACCUUCCCUCAUUACACUGGAAAAAAGAAAAACAAAACUCUUGUAACAAAUAUGCAAAGACAAACAAAUAAAAUAAAUUCCUUCCAUUG